ACGCUCGACACCUACGGAGGCAGCAGUGGGGAAUAUUGCACAAUGGGGGAAACCCUGAUGCAGCGACGCCGCGUGAGCGAAGAAGUAUCUCGGUAUGUAAAGCUCUAUCAGCAGGGAAGAAGAUGACGGUACCUGACUAAGAAGCACCGGCUAAAUACGUACCAGCAGCCGCGGUAAUCUGAGCGGGCGUGGCGAAGGCG
rnacentral:rRNA from 1 species